ensembl:Y_RNA Y_RNA Y RNA
GGUUUGUCCAAGGGUAGUGAGUUAUUUCAGUUGAUUGUUCAGAGUCAGUUACAGAUCAGUUACUCUUUCCUUCUUCUCACUACUGCAUUUGACUAGCCUUUA